UGGCCCGUUUUCCUCACUCUUCUUUCUCCGGGAAAGAGUCUUGGUGAGUGAGGAGCAGCGGUCGGUCAGGCCUGAAUGGCGAGCCACCAAGAGAAGCCCACCACGCCGCCGCCGCCGCAACCACAGGCGGCCGAGGGCGGCUGCGCCCGACCCCGCUUGCCCGGCGGCGGCCGAGUGCACGCGGGGGGCGCUGGAUACCCUAACCCCCCGGAGGCCGCGGUCCCCGACGCGGCGACGCUGCGGGACCAGUGGCGGUUCGCCGUGCGGUAGUACAGCCGCUGGUACUCCCACGCCUGGGGCACCGCCAUCCUCGCCGGCGCCGCCUUCUUCGCGCUCGGGUGGCUCGUCAAGGGCUCCGACCCGCUCCCUUCCCGAGCCGAGCCCCACGACACCAACGCCAGUGGCGCUGCCAAGGAGGAGAGGUGACUGAUAUUCCAUUCCUUUCCACCUAUGGAGUUCAAAUGGGCUGUUAAUGGUGAAGGGAGAUAGUUCAAGCCAGAAGGGAGAUAUAGUGUGGCUUGGAGUUGUGAUCUAUGCACUUGUUCCAGGGCAGUGAUCUGUUUUCUGUUCCUCUGCUGUUGUAUAUUUUCAAAAUAAGGAGGUCUAACCAUGCUUUAAGUUAGGCUUUUGAAGAUUUUGUAAAAAUACGAACGAGAUGUUACUGAAUCAAAUGAUAAAAGAGUUGCAUUAUCGAUUCCUUGUA